UUAUCUUUCGGUGUAAGAGCAUAUAAAAUUUUGAUUUUUAAGGAAAUUAAUUUAAAGAUAAA
rnacentral:tRNA from 1 species